GACGAACGCUGGCGGCGUGCUUAACACAUGCAAGUCGAACGGAAAGACCCUGCUUUUGUGGGGUGCUCGAGUGGCGAACGGGUGAGUAACACGUGAGUAACCUGCCCUUGACUUUGGGAUAACUUCAGGAAACUGGGGCUAAUACCGGAUAGGAGCUCCUGCUGCAUGGUGGGGGUUGGUAAGUUUCGGCGGUUGGGGAUGGACUCGCGGCGUAUCAGCUUGUUGGUGGGGUAGUGGCAUACCAAGGCUUUGACGGGUAGCCGGCCUGGGAGGGUAACCGGCCCCAUUGGGACUGGGCUACGGCACAGACUCCUACGGGAGGCAGCAGUGGGGAAUAUUGCACAAUGGGCGGAAGCCUGAUGCAGCCACGCCGCGUGGGGGAUGACGGCCUUCGGGUUGUAAACCGCUUUCGCCUGUGACGAAGCGAGAGUGACGGUAAUGGGUAAAGAAGCACCGGCUAACUACGUG
rnacentral:rRNA from 1 species